GGAGGAUGCUCAAGAAGAGGUAAAAAGACUCAUUGAGAGUCAUAGGAGAGAGUUGCUGAGAAUGGUGCUUCAAACUGAGGAAAGCACAGUUCCAUAAGUUUGCAAAGAUUUGUUUUGGAGGAUGAACAAGGUCCUGCACCUAUUUUACAUGAGUGGUGAUGGGUUUUCUUCUCCAAGCAAGAUGGUUAAUGCAGUGAACGCAAUCAUCAAUGAACCUAUCAUUCUACCCUAGGAAUUCAAUUUUGG
rnacentral:misc_RNA from 1 species